AUUGAACGCUGGCGGCAGGCCUAACACAUGCAAGUCGAACGAGUGGCGGACGGGUGAGUAAUGUCUGGGCAACCGCCUGAUGGAGGGGGAUCACUACUGGAAACGGUAGCUAAUACCGCAUACCCUCCGAUGUGCCCAGCUGGGAUUAGCUAGUAGGUGGGGUAAUGGCUCACCUAGGCGACGAUCCCUAGCUGGUCUGAGAGUAUGACCGGCAACACUGGAACUGAGACACGGUCACGACUCCUACGGAGGGCAGCAGUGGGGAAUAUUGGACAAGGGGCGCAAGCCUGAUGAAGCCAUGCCGGGGGUGUGAAGAAGGCCUUCGGGUUGUAAAGCACUUUCAGCGAGGAGGCGUUACUCGAAGAGGAAGCACCGGCUAACUCCGUGCCAGCAGCCGCGGUAAUAC
rnacentral:rRNA from 1 species